GAUGAACGCUGGCGGCAGGCUUAACACAUGCAAGUCGGACGGGAAGUGGUGUUUCCAGUGGCGGACGGGGGAGUAACGCGUAAGAACCUGCCCUUGGGAGGGGAACAACAGCUGGAAACGGCGGCUAAUACCCGGUAGGCUGAGGAGCAAAAGGAGGAAUCCGCCCGAGGAGGGGCUCGCGUCUGAUUAGCUAGUUGGUGAGGCAAUAGCUUACCAAGGCGAUGAUCAGUAGAUGGUCCGAGAGGAUGAGCAGCCACGCUGGGACUGAGACACGGCCUAGACUACUACGGGAGGCAGCAGUGGGGAAUUUUCCGCAAUGCCCGAAAGCCUGACGAAGCAAUGGCGCGUGGAGGUAGAAGGCUUACGGGUCGUAAACUUCUUUUCCCGGAGAAGAAGUAAUGACGGUAUCUGGAGAAUAAGCAUCGGCUAACUCUGUG
rnacentral:rRNA from 1 species